UACGUAGGGAGCAAGCGUUGUCCGGAAUCAUUGGGCGUAAAGAGCGUGUAGGCGGCCACUUAAGUCCUGCGUGAAAUCCUGCGGCUCAACCGCAGGCGGUCGUGGGAAACUGGGUGGCUAGAGUGCGGGAGAGGAGAGUGGAAUUCCUGGUGUAGCGGUGGAAUGCGCAGAUAUCAGGAAGAACACCAACGGCGAAGGCAGCUCGCUGGGACGGUACUGACGCUGAGACGCGAAAGCGUGGGGAGCGAACAGG
rnacentral:rRNA from 1 species